rnacentral:rRNA from 1 species
GAACCUCACUUGUGGGGGGAUUAGUGGCGAACGGGUGAGUAACACGUGAGUAACCUGCCCUUGACUCUGGGAUAAGCCUGGGAAACCGGGUCUAAUACUGGAUACGACCUUCUGGCGCAUGCCAUGUUGGUGGAAAGCUUUUGUGGUUUUGGAUGGACUCGCGGCCUAUCAGCUUGUUGGUGGGGUAAUGGCCUACCAAGGCGACGACGGGUAGCCGGCCUGAGAGGGUGACCGGCCACACUGGGACUGAGACACGGCCCAGACUCCUACGGGAGGCAGCAGUGGGGAAUAUUGCACAAUGGGCGCAAGCCUGAUGCAGCGACGCCGCGUGAGGGAUGAAGGCCUUCGGGUUGUAAACCUCUUUCAGUAGGGAAGAAGCCGGCCUUUGGGUUGGUGACGGUACCUGCAGAAGAAGCGCCGGCUAACUACGUGCCAGCAGCCGCGGUAAUACGUAGGGCGCAAGCGUUAUCCGGAAUUAUUGGGCGUAAAGAGCUCGUAGGCGGUUUGUCGCGUCUGCCGUGAAAGUCCGGGGCUUAACCCCGGAUCUGCGGUGGGUACGGGCAGACUAGAGUGCAGUAGGGGAGACUGGAAUUCCUGGUGUAGCGGUGAAAUGCGCAGAUAUCAGGAGGAACACCGAUGGCGAAGGCAGGUCUCUGGGGCUGUAACUGACGCUGAGGAGGCGAAAGCAUGGGGAGCGAACAGGAUUAGAUACCCUGGUAGUCAUGCCGUAAACGUUGGGCACUAGGUGUGGGGGACAUUCCACGUUUUCCGCGCCGUAGCUAACGCAUUAGUGCCCCGCCUGGGGAGUACGGCGCAAGGCUAAAACUCAAAGGAUUUGACGGGGGCCC